UACGUAGGGGGCAAGCGUUGUCCGGAAUCAUUGGGCGUAAAGCGCGUGUAGGCGGCUCGGUAAGUCCGCUCUGAAAGUCCAGGGCUCAACCCUGGGAUGCGGGUGGAUACUGCCGGGCUCGAGUCCGGAAGAGGCGAGUGGAAUUCCCGGUGUAGCGGUGAACUGCGCAGAUAUCGGGAGGAACACCAAUGGCGAAGGCAGCUCGCUGGGACGUGACUGACGCUGAGACGCGAAAGCGUGGGGAGCAAACAGG
rnacentral:rRNA from 1 species